rnacentral:rRNA from 1 species
UGAAGGGACGUUGAAGACUACGACGUUGAUAGGCCGGGUGUGUAAGCGCAGCGAUGCGUUGAGCUAACCGGUACUAAUGACCCGUGAGGCUUAACCUU